GCGGCGCCGCGGCGAGCGAGGGACCGACCGACACCGCCGGGGGCAGCGGGACAUCGGCGUGGGGGAAAAGGGCGUACCCCGCAGGGCGGUGUGAGAGGCGCCUGUCCUCCCUCAGGAGCGGCGCGAGCGGCUGGUGUCCCCUCAGGAGUGGCAUGAGGCUCACCAUGUCCCUGCCAGCAAAGAGGUGUGGAAGGCCCCAGUGUUGUCUUUUCUGGAAAAGAAAGAGAAAGUAAAGUCUUGAUAGAAUAAGGGGGAAAACAAGGAUUUUUGUGGGAAAUCACAUUGACCGGUGGCUGACACUUAAGGAGAAGUUGGAUUUGAGAAACGACGCAGGAGUUGCAGGGUUUUUAUUGGACAUGUAUGACAGCUAUGAUCUGUUGUCAAAAGCUCUCCUCUGUGAGAGUGUGAGAAGGAUCCCUGGGAAGGUAGAAGAAGCAUUGUCAGCCAGCACUCCUUUAAUGGCAGCAGAUGGAAUGUUAGUGCUGUCCUGUUCUUACUUGGAAAGGGUGGAUAAAAUAUUUUUCUUGAUACCGCUUGAAAGACUGUAGCUGGUGUUUAAAAAUAAUGAGAUAAAAGUUGCAUAUAAAAAGGAAAUUAUUCAGCUAAUUUUAGUUAAAUUGAAGAUUUGAAACCUUUCAUAGAAGACUUUCUGUCUUUGUUUUCUUGUUUGUAUGGCUGAGUACAUGGCACUACUGCAGAUGAACUUUUUUGCAGAAGAAGCAUUUUAGUUAACAGCUUGGGUUGUAUUUGCAAGUGUGACAGUGAUGACCAGCUGCCUGAAGAAUCUGCUUGUUCUGGAUUCAGAGAUGUGAGAAUUGUAACUGAAAGAGGAGUGAGAGAUGCCAGGGGACUGCACAUUGAAAGUAUUUUGAAUUGAUUUUAUUUUCACAUUAAUUUUGUAUUAGAAACUCAUGCUCUGCUUCAUUAUCUAAAAGCAUCUUGGUACAUAAUUGAUGGUCCAGUCCUUCUGAGGGAAGAAUCUGAAAGAGCUAUUGAAAAAUUUGUAAAAUACCUGAGAGCACAAGCAGCCAACCCAGUAGUCAGUGGGUAGCCUUCCUUGGUUGUGUGCAGGGUUCAUGAGUGAACAGGGAAAUGGCCAGUGCUAUACAUGUGUCCCCUUCAGCAGUCAGGCUUUUACGGUACUGCAGUGUCCAGGCAAGUGCAACUGCAUGUGCUUUAAUCUUUCUCAAAAGAAAGAUGUUUCAUUGUUGAUCAAGUUAUGUUGCACACCAAGUGAUGUGUUAAACUAUCUAAAAAUAGCUCUGUGAGGCCACCCCACCAUCAACUACUAGUGUCUGUUACUGCAGUGUCUUGAGUAACUGGGGCAUUCCCAGUUCAGAUCAGAGGAGCCUCCAAUAGGUAUGCUUGUCCAUUACUUUUUCUUUAGGUUUUGAUUACCCACAGAAGUCUUAAUGAAUAAUUCAUCCAUGUCUUAGUUUUCUAACCUUUAAAAAACUGUAUCUUUUAAUGUGUACAGGGAGACACAGAGACCAUAGGACAUUACUCUGGCAUUGCGUGAUGUGUCCAAACCCCUCACCAUUAUGGUGAAGUGUGUCAAGUACUGUGUUUGUCUGAUUCUCGUCAUCCACUGUGGUUUUCCUUGUGACUUUCCUAAUUGUUCUUAC